AAAGGUAAACACCUCUCAUUCUAUUUUAUAGCACUUAAGAAAUGCAAGCUCAAGGCAGGCUGUGAGGAACAUCUACACUUAAAGAAGUCUUUCUGGAAAGCCAAUGGAAAUUAUGUGCUCAAAUAUUAGUGAUUUGUGAGAUAAUCUAUUAUAGAUUAAUCAUUUCAGUCUUAUGGUGCAAUGUCAAAAAUAAAUUUGGGUUAUGAAGCUGGAGGGGAGCCACUUGGGGGUCAUGUGUUCUCCCUGAUGCUCCUUAUUUGACUUUGAAAACAGCGUCAUGACAAGAUUUUUGAAGCUGAUUGUUACCCCAUGGAAUCCAAAUCACAAGCUCCUCCAGCAAUCACUGGAACUAUUAAUUAACCGGACAUCAGUCUCUGGACCAUUGCAAGCAUGGCAGGAUCCAUGCAAGGGGGCAGAUACAGAGGAAGAUACGGGCUCACAUUCCAGCCAAGAUGUCCACAGAAGGAUGUGCUUCCCUCUAAGGAGCUAUCAGGUCCCACUGACACUGCUGUCUUCUAACAUGGAUGUUCUUCAGCCUGCACCACUCAUCCAUAGGACACAGCUUUUUUUAUACCAUCUUCCCAACACAGGGCUGAGGUUCUUAUGGAAAUACUGUCUGUCAGUGUUCCUACCUGUGCCUGUGGUGGGUGCUGAGUAUCAGGAGAACAGAGAUCGAGCACAUCCCUGAAAAGGGUGGCUGGUUGGGAUCGCAUCUGUGCAGCGGCACAGUCACCAAGGAGCAGGUUGGAGAAGAAGCAGCACUUCUGUACCCAUGGCAUGAGACAGGGGGGCCCUCAGGAGCCAGGCACCCGCUGUGGUUGGUGGGAUACAAACAAAUCCCAUGGAGAAUGAAGAUGCUCCCAUGAAGCAUAAAAUAUCUCUCCAGAUUUCAGGUCAACCAGGAAUGAUAGAAGCUUGGUCAGGGACUCCAGGCAGUGGCUGGUGGGUUCUGCAAGGCCUAGGGGCAGGAGCACUGUGGCUUCCCCAGGAUAUCACAAGCAUAUAGUUGCCAGCAAACCCCAGGUGCACACAGGAAUGAAGUUGGCACUAGAGACAGCGCACGGGGAACGGCUGUGAGAGGAGGCAGAAAGGCGCUGCUACACUUCCAGAGCAAAGAUCCAACAAUCCAGAGCAAGGAGGUGGCAGCAAGGGCACUGCUGGGUAGAAGGGCAAAGAUGGACAGAUGAUGUCAGUUGUCCAGGAGAAUCUGAAUGUGUUAUGUCCAGCGCCCCGCAUCUCCGGCUGAGAACUGCGCCCGUGGCUCCUGCCUGGGGAAGAGAACGCGCCACCACAGAAGCCGGACGGAAAACCAGGAGGGGAGAAGGAUGGUAGAGGGGAAGCGGCGAGACCCGCUGUCAGAGCGGCAUUGCCGCCAAAAGCAAACGUAACCAUUUCAAACACAACAAGGGCGAGGGCUUGCUCAUGCCAGCGUGACCCACGAGGAAGCCUGUGAAGUCCAUUUCCAGUGGGAAAGCUCCGAAUUAACACAGCCCUGGCAGUGCCAGGCCAUCCUACCCCACCUUGAGCUUACAGUGUCCAGCUCAAGUUUCAGCAAGCAUCUGUCAAGAGUUAUUUUUGCAAGUCAAAUUACACAGAUCUAAAGAGAAGUCAGGCGAUCAAUUGAAACCCCUCAUCUGAUAAGGCAUCCUAUUCAUAAUUGCCUACAUUAAAAUAAACGAGUAUUAAUUUUUGGCAACACAAAACCAGAGGACUGUGAUAAGCUUGCCUGAA